AGCUGUGGGUGUGGGCACGCGAUCGCACCAACCUUACUUAGAACCCUAGAGCCAUGGAGGCCUAAGACCAUUGCCUGAGUUAGAUCCCUGUGCCUGAGGGAGACACUCUAUGCCAACAUUAAGGACUGCUGGGGGAAAGAAGAGAGGACGGCCUUGCACAGGAGACUAGAAGAACCCAGAUUCUUCUAGAAGGAGUGGAAUGGAAUCACCACACUGUGCUCCUGGGGGUGGGAACACAUGUAGGGGCUCUGGAGGGGAAAUGAGAAGUCAGGAUUCCUCCAGGGCCCAUUCUACUCAGCGGCACCAUCUAGAUGUUAUGCCUAAUGUCCUCAGUCUCAUCUCCCCGAGAUAGCAGCUGAAGGCCCAGUGGUUUCCUAUAAUUUGUCUUCACAGUCUCAGGCCGUUGAAGGAGGCAUUCAGGGCUCAGAUGAGGAGGGACCUACCUUCAAAAUAUAGUAUUUGAUUUAUAUAAUUGUAAUAACUUUCACAUGUCACAAGUUUUAUUGCAUUAUCAAUAUACAUAACAAGUUUUGUUAUAUUAUUAAUAAAUAAACUUCAUUGUAUUGUUACAUGUUCACUACGGAAUAAUUAGCAUAUUAGUUUUAUAAUGGUUCCAGUUUUGGGAACAUGCUGCUCCUGUAUUUUAUCAUAGCUCUUAUAAUGUUUAUAUAUCCAUAAUUAUUUUCAUUAAAUGGAGAAUUUUUACCUUUUAAAAUCUAUUAUAUUUAUGUGUCUAUUUGUCUUAUAUCUGGGUAGCAGAACCCUAGAUCUUUGUGAAUAUAAGUUUUUAUUUAUUUUAUAUUUAGUCUCCAUUGUUGAAUGUAAACAUUUAGCUUUGAUAAUUUAACUUGCUUGGACAUGUUUGUAUAUUACUUUAAAAAGGCUAUGUGUGUGAAAGAGCAUCCAUGUUACAAGGUCCUUCCUCUGGGGACAGAUAAUAAAGAUUAAGUAUGUUUUA